CGUAAUUACACUGUGAAAUCGUUCUCUAGAUGACUUCACUCGACGAAAGGCUAUAGAUGGUGACCUAGAGCUAAAUUAGACAACAAAUCCAUUGAAGUAUACAUGCGGACUGUCAAAGCAUGCGCAGUAAUGACCAGGGUAACAUAUGAAUGCAAUAGAAAAUGGAUCAAGAUGGGUGGAACAUUAAAGUCUUGACAAGUUUAGACAAGCAACUGUUUUUUUUUGUCAUGAAAGGAUUUCUUUCACUUUCUCGUUUUCUCUUUCUUCAUGAGCAAAUAUAAAGAGAGAAGAUUGUGAGAAAACAGUCUAGUGUAUUGAGAGAUGCAUUUCUCCAAUACAAUAGCUUAUUGUAGUGAAAGAGGGAUCCCUCUAGUACAAUUCUAGUGUAUUGUGAGAUGCAUCUCUCCAACACAAUAGCUUAUUGUAUUGAAAGAAGGAUCCCUCCAGUACAAUUCUAGUGUAUUGUGAGAUGCAUCCCUCCAAUACAAUAGUCUAGUGUAUUGUGAGAUGCAUCCCUCCAAUACAAUAGUCUAGUGUAUUGUGAGAUGCAUCUCUCAAAUACAGUAGCUUAUUGUACUGAGAGAUUAGCUUAGAUUAUCUGGAACUUGAUGAAACUGUACAUGAUUGACAUACAGGAACACUAUUAGACAAGUGAUGCCGUAUUCUCUGACCUAGGGCGUGUUCAAGUUAGGCUCUUCCAGCCUAUUCCACAAGAGGCUUCGUGUACACACCCCUCUCCCAACUUCU